UACGUAGGGUGCGAGCGUUGCCCGGAUUUAUUGGGCGUAAAGGGCGCGUAGGCGGCCACGCACGUCCGUUGUGAAAUCGCCCGGCUCAACUGGGCGGGGUCGGCGGAUACGGCGUGGCUGGAGCAAGCUAGGGGGCAAUGGAAUUCCCGGUGUAGUGGUGGAAUGCGUAGAUAUCGGGAGGAACACCUGUGGCGAAAGCGGCGCACUGGACCACAACUGACGCUGAGGCGCGAAGGUCAGGGGAGCAAACGGG
rnacentral:rRNA from 1 species